rnacentral:sRNA from 1 species
AAAAAAGUUCUGUACAUUUUGUGUGUUAGGUGUUACGUGAUCCACCUUGAGGUAACUUUUGAGUACAUAUGAAGUUAGGGUCAUUCCUAUUUUCAUAGACUGCGUUAUUUCCUUUUCUUAGGUUGUCUUUGAAGCUUGGUGAUGCUGGAAACCCCAGAAGUCUUGCUAUAAGAUUCAUCCUUACCAAUUACAACAAGUUGUCCAUCCAGAGUUGGUUUAGUUUGCGCCGAGUCGAGAUCAUUUCCAACAAUUCAAUCCAAGCAGUCUUUAACCCAACUGGCGUAUAUGCUCCCUCUGGUUACUCCUACCGCUGCCAACGCGUGGGCAGCCUGCAGCAGGACCAGGCCCUCUUGCUGCCCAGCGACACGGAUGAUGGGUCGAGCCUGUGGGAGGUCACUUUUAUUGAUUUCCAGAUCCAAGGUUUUGCCAUCAAGGGGGGACGAUUUACCAAGGCCCAAGACUGCACCUCCUCCUUCUCGCCAGCUUUUCUGAUCGGCCUGGCAAUGUCCCUGAUCCUGCUGCUGGUGUUGGCCUACGCCCUGCACAUGCUCAUCUACCUGCGGUAUCUGGACCAACAAUAUGAUCUCAUUGCCUCUCCUGCCCACUUCUCGCAGCUGAAAGCUCGAGACACAGCCGAAGAGAAGGAGCUGCUGAGGAGCCAGGGGGCUGAAUGCUAUGAACUGAGAAGCCAACAGAUCAGCAAAAUCUAUGUUUAGCAGCACAGGCUGGCCCCCACCAUGUCCACAGUGGGCUCCGAAAGUUGUUUCUGUUCUGUGCUAUUUGACUUGUGAAUUAC